GGUCAAUAGAGGAAUAAUCUUCUUUAUUUGAAUUUUUUCUAAAACGCUUUCACCGAACUCCUAAAACGUUGUUGAAAUAGUGAAAAGCGUGACCAGAAGGAUUCAAGUUGUCCUUUAGGCAAGAGGUCCAACACGUUAUUAGAGUUUUACAUUUACUCCAUGCUGACUCUCUUGGGAAAUGAGGACAUUUUUGAAGUUAUUUAUACUUCAAGGCUGCUGCAGCCUCUUCGAUUGGUUGCCCAGUCGAUGCUAUGGAUAUACCGCUCGGUCUCCAGAGUUUAGUCCAUUAUCUAGCAGGGAGAACAGUGGCAAGCACCGCUAUCGGCUAUUUAUAACGAACCACCAACGCAUGCAGUUGAGGUUGUCUAUUGGACCGGUUAAGAUGUUAUUUCCAAUCUCCCCUUACCUCCUCAAUUAAAGCUUAUACUCUCAUUAAUACUGCAAUCGACUUAUAUCACUGCUUCAAUUGUAUCUAAUUACUAAAUAGACAAUCAACUUGUAUAUCAGGGAUAAUUUAAUAGCGGGUGAAUUUUCGAAAACGGAACAGUUUUAAGUUUAUUAUUUAUAACCGUCUCUUUAUAUCAGUAGAAGACUUUUAAUUUAUUUUUAUCCAUAUUUUCUAUUGCUACAUAGUAAAUACUAAUAAAAUUAUUAAAUAUAACAUUAUAUAUGUCGGAGAAACACCUUCCCCAGUGACGUCAUCAACAGUGGUUGCAGAUUUGGUGGGCGUCAUGAGGGUAAAGCGCGAACACAAAACACGACGAUUGUAGUUUUCACAAUAUUUUAUUUACACUGAUGAUACACUGAUAUUUUAUGGUAGUUAUUAAUAAUAAGUUAUAAGUUUUAAGACCGAGCAGUGAGUUCAAUGCACCAAUCUAGCGACCAAAACUCAGGGAUCCAACUCGAUCCGUCUCCACUUCAAAAAGGCCCCGUAACAACCAACGGACUGGCCUAUAUAUAGAUGGCGCUUCGACCCCACUCGAGCAAAAUGCUCUGCUCUCAUUGGUCGUUUGUUUAAUAACGAUUACAAUCUUAUAAAUUAGAAAAACAUAACUAAUUUUAACUAAAAUCACUAAUUUGUUAACAGAAACAGUUUUAGGUUUAUCGUAAAAUCGCGUAUUAAGUUAAAUUAAGAUUAAUGCAACGUGUUUAAAUGAUAAAGAGAAUUUAAUGUGUUAUUGUACAAUCAACAAGCAACUCGUUGAAUGGCUUCCUCCGACAUAUAGAUAUAACCGAAGACGAGAACAAUUAAAUAUAGUUAAACUACUGUCCAGAGUGUCAGGAGGCUCGCGAAUGUUUUGCUGGCUUUUUUGUGUUUACGUGUUAAGAUGGGGGCUAUAAACAAUCCUAUAUGUACGAGUCAACUAUUCCAAACUAAUAGAAUACAAAAUAGAAGAAAAUAUUUAAAGAAGUAAUGUAGGUAAGUGCAUGAAGUGACCUAUAUUACUUUUGACUUAGGAUUGAUUAAACAUUAUUUAUAAAAAAAAAACCGAAGCGUUUUUAGUCAAGUGACUUAAGAAAGAUCUAGUUUCUUUCCAUGUUCGCAAUUAAAACUUGCUCAUAUGCAAAAAAACAAUGCAGUGGUGAAUUACCUGUCUAUCUAAAAAAUAGAUUCUACAAAAUUCUAGAAUAUGUGUGUACAUCUGUAUAUCCUACCAGACUGGUAAUCGCGCUUUGUUUCACUUUCCUCACUCCAAGCAAAAAAGUCAACUUUGCAUCGUGCAGCCUGGGCAUACAAUCACUAUUUAAACCUUGACCAUUCUUUAUUUAUUAAUAAUUAUCCAUUACGCUAAAUACCCUGCAUCAUCAGCACACCUCACAUACGCAACAUUAUACAACACCAAACAGCCAAUUAUUAUUACUUAAUUAAAUGUAUUUAAUAUAU